UCGCUCUGAGGCCUUUCUGCUCCAUGUCUUCAGCGCUGGCAUUUCCAGGAAGGUUCUCCAGCAGAGCCAGUUCAUGUCCCACUUUUGUUAUCAUCCCAAGUGGUUUCGAAUGGAUCACUGAAGAGCUUUUAUUUUGGUUCGGUUCCAGGCUGCUGCCUGCCAUCCUCCUCCACUCACUGCAGCUUCUGUAACCUUGAGGCAGUGGUACCAGAUGGCCUUUGGGGACAUCCAAGAGUUAUGCAGGACGGAGGUCUGGAUGCAUCCUUGCUGCUCCUUCUGAAGCCCCGCACGAAGAAAUGGAUAGACUUCAGCCAUCAAUAAUAUCGCUGGAGGAGAAAAUUGAAGGGAUAUCUGCCCAAUUAAAUAACCUACAGGGCUGGAAUUGAGAAUCAAUGUGGCAUGAACGAUGAGACAUGUUCUGCAGCCAGCGAAGGCAUCCCCAGGCUUGGGGUCAGCCCCCAGCACAGCGCUGCGGGGCUUGGAAGAUUUGUCCCACAACGAGGAGAGAGCACAUCUGGAAGCAUGGGCAGAGAGCUGGAGGGAGCAGGAAGGAGAUGGGCUGCGAGGGGCUCCCAGCUCCUCUCCUCAUGCCACCGAGCCCUGCAGUGCAAUGAGGCCGCAGCCGAGCAGGGGAAUAACGGCGACGGGAGCUGAUCCAGGAUGAAAGUGAGAAAAAUCAGCCAGAAAAGCUUCCUGCAGUGCGAGCAGCCCUGCCUUGACCAUGCUGACCCGGGCUCGCAGCGCUGGGCCUUCCCCGUAGAUUCAUGCACGGCUCAGAAAUGCUCCACAGGAACAAUUUUAUUGACAGGAAAAAGUGCUUUCUCAAAAUGGAAACUUGCCGCAAGUGUUGCUUUCUGUCAGAUUUUCUUGGAGAAGGGAAAGGGAAAAUAAGUCACAGAGCAUUUUGGUAAAGUGGAAAACUCUCUGAUUCCACACAUCUGGAAGGGAAAUCUUUGAUGUUUCACCUCCAGCUGAUUUUUGUGCUGACAUUUGUUUUCUCCCCAUCUGAUCAGCCAGCUCCAGCAUGGGUCUCACCACCAGAAGGAUGUGUUUGGGCUGCUCCAUGCCUUCCCUUCUCUUCCUUCCCUUGUGCCCUGGGACCAUCAGCACCUCCUUUACCCUUUCCCAGUGCCCCAAAUAGCCCCAUAUCCACCUCACUUCCCACUUCCCGCUCCCCUCCUGCCCAGGUGGGAGCCCUAUGGAAACAGCAAACCCCAUCAUGGCUUGGCGUAAGCCAGUGGUGGUGGCCAUCACAAUGGGGAAAGGAGAUUGAUAAAGGAGAUUAUUCAAAAGAAGCAGUGGUCCUUUUUUCCACCCUUGCUCCUUAUCUUGUGCAAAUUACCCUAUUAUUCAGCUCCCUUAGGAUGCCUGAUUGUCCUUAUUUCUUCUUUUAAGCUAAAGUCAUCCAUGCAUUAAAUUAGUUCUCUGCCUAGAAAUAGCUUGAUUACUUUCUCCAAGCUGCAGCUAACGCGAGGUUCCCAGAAAGUUGCAAAGAUAAAAAUGGGGCAAAAAAGGAAGGAAACGAGGAUGGAAGGAGGAGACCAGCCAGGCUACAGCUGCCCUGAUCUGGCAGAAAAACAUUUGGUCUGGAACAUGAUCCCAGCGACGUGUCACCAUGGGGACAUGGGACACUGCUGGGGGGUGGCUGUGCCACCUGUCCCUUGUCACAUUUGGUGGGUGGUGAGGUUCCCCCCAUCUUGUGUUAUUUCUUCUGUGGUGUUCCGUUUUAUUCUGUCUGAAGUGAAGGAAGGAUGGGAUGCCUCAUGCCAGCAUUGGGGAUGGGUCAACUAUGAGGCCAGAGCCUGGGGAGCCCCAGCAUCCCUCGAGGUCCUGGAUUUGUAUUACUACUGUUAGUUGGCUCCCAAGUGGGAUCACUGCCAAAGACCAGUGGUGUGUUUCCCUAUUUCUGUAUUAAAACCUCUCUUCUCUUGCUCUAGUGAUGCAACAAGGGCAGACACACUUCCCCAUCCCAGCCGAGAUCAGCUCUGCAUCCCAUGGUGGAAGACCACAGAACAUGAUCCCCAAGCUCCUCUUCUCGUCCCUGCUCCCUGCCCCAAAACCACAGUAAACUGUCCCACAGCCCCCCACCUCUCCUUCCAGCCUGUAAUCAGCAGAAAGGCAAAAAUUCAGCCCUGCUCCCCUCUGAGCUCAGCAUCCCUGGGUUCCCUGCUGGUGCCAGCACAUCUCACACCUACACACCCUGAUCCCCUCUUAUCUUCUCCCCUCUCCAUUUUCCUUCUCUUCUCCUCCUCAUUUUCAGUGAAGCUUUUCCAGGAAGGCAGCAGGGGCUGAGACAAUGUGCUGAGAGGGGCUAUGAAUCUCAGAUAAUGGCCCUAGAAAAUGCCCUGUGCUCUUUCGUGCUCGUUCCUUUGUGUAUUCUUGACAUGGGACUGAACUCUGUGCAAGGUUUUGAGGUUUUUUAUGUUUUUCCCUCAGUUCCUCUGACUGUUGGGCAGGUGUCUGCUCCAAGCUGUUUGCAGGAGCUGGUGCCAGCACACUGGCUGUUAAUUCAGGGCCAAUUAUCCCUCCUUCCCGCCGCUCUUUGCUGUGUCCGGUACAGCACUGCAUGUGCAGACAUGGGCCUUCCUUUAUUCUCCAAAAUCCCUGCUGCCCCUUCACUUCUACCAACAGCUGGAAGUGAUUUGGGAAGCGUCAAUGAAGCUGCAAUGAAGGCAUUUGGCUGUCAUCCUCUCCCAAAAUUGGUGUUGCACCCUCCUGAUGCUUCUCCUCAAUGCAGACCCAAUGCUCCCAGUGACUCAGAGAGGCUGGAUGCUGGGAUCUGGCACGUGCCUCCUGCGUGCAGGAAUAAUUUGUACAUCCCAGAGCCUAGGCUGCCUGCCCAGCCCUGCCACCAUCCAAGAAAUCAGUUCCCAUUCAGCACCAUGGCCUCCCGUCCCACUCCCACAAACAAUGACAAAUGGAGCAACUUGGAUGGAGCAGCAAGCAUCGGCAGGAGGAGUAAUUGCCCAUUUACCAGAUGAGCUGGGACGUGCUUUUUCCUGCACCUCCUUCCCAGUGCUAGGCAGCAGAGAGAGGAUCCCUGCUGCAGAGGGAUCGAUCCUGCUGGAAGUGAUGCUCGGGGACCCCCAAAGGAGGCAUGCUGGGACUAGGCUGGAGCCAACUGUAGGGUAGCAGUGCUGGGCUCCAGUGCUGACUUUACUGUUGCUUUAGCAUCUGGGGCACCAGUGGGAUGGGAUUCUACGAAGUUCAUCAGAUGCUGGGAGGGAUCAACACUUUGGGACAUGGCUAGUGGGCAUGGUGGGGAUGGUUUGAUGACUGGACUAGAUGAUCUUAGAGGUCUUUUCCAACCGUUAUGAUUCUAUGAUUCUAUCACCGAGUGAUAGAAGAGCUGAAGAGCUGCUUAAGAGGACGAGGAGGCAAUGAGAGGAUGAACUCUCCAAAAGAGGCACGAAAAAUGAUCCCAGCCCAGAAGGCUCCAAUUGAUGGAAAUGAGAAAGUCUGCUUCAGGAAAUCCUUGUCCAUGUGAGAGGUGGAACAAUGUGUGCAUCACUACAGCUUUCCUCUUUACUUCAUUUAAUUAAAAAGAAAAUGUCUCCCUCCAAAGUCAUUAAUUACUAGUGACACAAUUAGAACCAGUAAAGAGGAAGAGGAAGAAUAGGAUGAAAAUGGAAAUAAAAAAAAAUAAAAAAACAUAACCCAAACCAAAAAGCCCUCUGGCACUUCAAGCCAUUUGAAGCUGAGGAGAAAUUAAGGAAAUAAUUACUUGAUUUAAACUUUAUUCUCAUUCCUGUUGUGCCUCUGCAAGAUGGGCUGCGUGCAAUGGAAACCUCUCUUCGAUCAGAGGGAGGAGGUGCAUCUCAUUCAUUUAACUUGGUUUUCCCGCUCAAGGGAUGACCCUGAGGCAGUCUCACCUUGGGGUCCUUCUCUGCCCUGCACUGCACUGCACUGAGGUCCCAUGCCCCUCAAUUUCUUGGUCCUGGACUGGAGUCCAGCACUGUCAUCCCCCAUGGUCACAUUUUCCACAUUUACUUGGCCAGCACCAACUUUUUCUGCAGCCUGAGCCAUUCUUCCUCCCCAGCCAUCCCACACCAUGGACAUCACAGCACUGUCCCCUUCCUGUCCCACACUGGUGGCCAAUAGGGAUAAGCAGGGACGAGUCCUGGUGUGUGAAUUUAAAGCUCCCCACUUGAAAGGAUGGCUUAAAUUGCUCGAAGGCUCCCUAUGAAAAAUAGAUUAAGGGUGUGGGAAGAGGGAAGCCCAGCAGAGCUGCUGGCUGCCUGCUGAGUGCUUAUUAUUUCUGCCAGCUGGGUGUAUUUGCUCAGUAAUCUCGGAUUGAAGCGGUUUUACGGGAGGGGAGGGAGCAGCUCCAGGCGCUCCCCACACGGCCAGGAUUAGGCAGGGAGGGAGGCUCAGCUCCCCUGUGCUGCUGGAAGCCAGAGGGACCUGAAGCAGGGGACUUGGCACAGGGACAGCUGCAGGAGGUGGCUUUGGGAUCUGCUCUGCAUCCUGAGCAUCCCUUGUGGUUGGGUCUGCCUGAGGCAGUUGUGUGGGAUGGGAAUGGGAAUGGCUGUCUGGACUCUCUGAGUCAUACGGACUGAUUUUUGGGUGGUUCUAUACGGAGUCAGGAGUUGGUCUUGAUGGUCCUUAUAGGUCCCUCCCAGUGCAGGAUAUUCAAUGGUUUUAUGACUGCCCUGGUUCCUUCCUGAAAGGAAGGAUCCCAUCCACGUGCUGCAUCUCUGUGUUUGCUGUGGAACAUGACCCUCCGAUAGCAAAUCUGAAACAUUUGGUCAGCAUUUGUCAUGGAGAUCCUAAAGGUCUUAAAGGCCAACAUGGUUCUCCUGGGACGUGCUCUUAACCCUGAUUCCUAUUGACUUUCUUCUUCUGCAUCUAUUAGAGAUGUGCAAAGAAAAUGCAGGGGAAAGGAGAAAAAAAAAUAGGAAAGAAAAAACAAAUUCCUAUUGACUGCU